GACGAACGCUAGCGGCAGGCUUAAUACAUGCAAGUCGAGGGGUCAGCAAUGACACCGGCGGACGGGUGCGUAACGCGUAUGCAACCUACCUACAUCAGGGGGAUAGCCCUAGGAAACUGGGAUUAACACCGCAUAAUAGUAUUGAUGGCAUCAUUGAUAUUUGAAAUAUUUAUAGGAUGUAGAUGGGCAUGCGUAAGAUUAGCUAGUUGGUAAGGUAACGGCUUACCAAGGCUACGAUCUUUAGGGGCUCUGAGAGGAGUAUCCCCCACACUGGCACUGAGAUACGGGCCAGACUCCUACGUGAGGCAGCAGUAGGGAAUAUUGGGCAAUGGAGGCAACUCUGACCCAGCCAUGCCGCGUGCAGGAAGACGGCCCUCUGGGUUGUAAACUGCUUUUGAAUGGGAAGAAUGUGAUGUUUGCGAGCAUUAAUGACGGUACCAUUAGAAUAAGCCACGGCUAACUACGUGCCAGCCGCCGCCGUAAAAC
rnacentral:rRNA from 1 species